rfam:Zootermopsis nevadensis contig26235, whole genome shotgun sequence.
GCCACGGUGGUCUAGCGGUUAGAACGCUGGCCUUGUAAUCCUGGGGUCUCGGGUUCGAUUCCCGGCGGGGCC